rnacentral:ncRNA from 1 species
CCAACUGUGAAGUUGGAACUGAAGGAAGCGGGUCUACAAACCCUGGUACUGACGAACAGGAACCGGAUUUGAGGCUACAAGGUUGGAUGAGCAAGCACAUCAUUGUGAUGUCCUAAACAUUUCUUCUGAAAUGAAUACCGAAGUAGUAGAUCCGGCAGGAAUCAGGGGAAAGAAGAUGUU